GGUCGUGUGCUGGGGCUUUUCUCUCCAGGGAGGCUGCCGAGGGGCGGGGGAGGGGCCACCGCUCCGCCUUCUUCUUUUCGCAAUGUUGACGCAAUCUAUAAAUAGUGGAACAAAAGGACCAACUUCCUCGGAGCUUUGCUGAAACUGCACAAAAAAUCGAGCUGGGGGGUUCCCUGGUCCCCGGCGUUGGGGCGGGGAGCGCUACGCCGAGGGAGGGGGCGGCGCAGACCCGACUAGGGGGACACCUGGUCGAGCGCAGCUACCGCUCCGCUCGAGCCCUGCGCUCCAGUGCCCCCGCUGGCUGGAGAGCUCGCCCGGACCAGGGGUCUUCCUCCGCCGCUGACAGUUGAAAAAUUAGAAGAGAUAUCCUGACGUGGCGUGAGGAAGAGGAGAGAGAGAGGAGAGAGAACAGUGAUGAAAUAAUAAAAACCGGGCUGGCGGUGAUGGCUCAUGCCUUUAAUCCCAACACUCGGGAGGCUGAGGCAGGUGGAUCUCUGUGAGUUCCAGGACAGGCUCCAAAGCUACAGCAAAACCAGGUCUCAAAAAGCCACAGCUUAAAAAAAGAAGAAGAAAUAGAUAAUAAAAACCCAGACUC